GCUCACAAGCUCCUAUAGCUUCCCUUCUUCCCCCGUACCUCUCACCAGCGGUGUCUUCGGUAUGUGAAAACCCAAUUCUUCAACCCUAUAGGAUCCAACAGGCAAUCGCAGCUGGCAUCUUACCUUUAUCACCCUUGUUCCUCCAACAAUCAUCAGCCCUAUUACAGCAGUUACCUUUGGUGCAUUUAUUGGCACAAAACAUCAGGGCACAACAACUACAACAACUUGUGCUAGCAAACCUUGCUGCCUACUCUCAGCAACAACAGUUUCUUCCAUUCAACCAACUAGCUGCAUUGAACUCUGCUUCUUAUUUGCAACAACAACAACUACCAUUCAGCCAGCUAUCUGCUGCCUACCCCCAGCAAUUUCUUCCAUUCAACCAACUGACAGCUUUGAACUCUCCUGCUUAUUUACAGCAGCAACAACUACUACCAUUCAGCCAGCUAGCUGGUGUGAGCCCUGCUACCUUCUUGACACAACCACAAUUGUUGCCGUUCUACCAGCACGCUGCGCCUAACGCUGGCACCCUCUUACAACUGCAACAAUUGCUGCCAUUCAACCAACUUGCUUUGACAAACCCAACAGCAUUCUACCAACAACCCAUCAUUGGUGGUGCCCUCUUUUAGAUUUCUUAUGAGUUAUAGUUCAAUAAUAAAGUUUUUUGUCUGAUGUUUGUGGCUUCCCAGAAAUAAGAAAGUACAUUUCUAGAUUCUUAUGUGCUUCUAGUCUCCAAAUGUGGUUGAUAGUUAUUUUGCUCUAAGAUUAGCAGUAAUGAAGUAUAAAUCAUCGUUGUGGUGUGCUACUCGGUUAAUUGAGCAUUAACACACACAAACAUGACGAGGAUGGUAUAAUCUCCAAAAAUGUGUACUUUGUUAGGUGGGACCCUAUAGCCUUGCAGAAUGUGCUACGUUAGGCAUGCCAAUGGAAACGUGUGACACAUACGUUUUGUGAAUCUGUUGAUAUUAUAUGUGCUUUUAUAUUACCAUAUUUUAUUAAAAUACUAAUAUUUAUUACUAGUAAGAUAUAACAUUCUAUCUAGCUUAAAAACUAACCAUAAAUAUUCCAUAAUAACUAGAUUUACCAAACUAAUAUACUAAAUAUACAUAAUAAAUAUAAAAUUAACAAGACAAUAAUUAAUAUUUAUGAGCUUAAUUUAUUUAGACAUUAUGGUUGGUCGACGAUAAUCAUGCUAACUUUCCGUAAUUGCUUGAUUGUAAAUAUGCUUAGAAUAAUGCCUCUUUGUUCUACAUGGCAAAUAGGGACCAUUAUGGUGUAACACCCCGGGAUCCACAAACACCCCGAAAUGCUACUAAACUACACAACUAACCUUCAUAUAUAAAAUUUCGACAGCAUCUCCUUUGAAAAUUUGCAUAAACGUGGAAGCAACAGAGUAUAAACAGAUAUCAUGAUAAGGAAACAUACUAGACAUUAAUAAUCUGCUAGAAAUGGGAAGAUAACCAUAACGACAUAAACUGAAUUAACUAGUGUGCACAACUUGUUAAAAACAAACAUCGUUGACAAGAAGUUUCUAAUUAAAUCAUGGUUGUGCCUGGGCAGCGUUAUUAUGAGAGUGAAGGUGGACGUGAUGCUACUUCCCUCAUUCCCAACAUGAAUCAAGUACCUGCAUUGAGUAAUGCAAGAGUGAGAUGAAAACAUCUCAGCAAGUAAAUUGUUUUGACGAGAUAUUUAAACCAAAAAAAUUGAUUUAAUCAACAUUUUAAAGGGAUCACAAUUGAGAUCAGAAAUACUUGUAGAUAUAGAACUCAAUAGUCCCAAAAUAACCAAUGCCAUCUCAUUUCCUCAAACAACCACAAUAGGUUGUAUAACACUUCCCUGCGUCAUCAAUACCUGCAAAUAUCACUUCAAUGUAUGCAUAGGAAUGCAAUGUUUAAGUCCUCUGCAUUCAUACUUCUUAGAGUAUAAAACCACACCAUCUGCAAAUAUCACUUCAAUGAAUGCAUAUGAAUGCAAUGCAUAUGUCCUCUGCCUUCAUACCUCUAAGGGUAUGAAGCCGCAUCGUACCCCUCCUCGGGCAACGUACGAUGCUAAGUUGUACCGGUACGGUCGGACCAUAGGUCACGACAAAACUUCAGAUGCAAGUGAAUCAUGACAUGUAUAUGGCAUGCUGCAUUUAUCAAUAUACUUCACUUCCUUCAUAUACAAUACAAACCUAAAAUAAUACUUCGUUUACCUUCAGAUACAAUACAAACCUCAAAUAAUACUUCAUUCACCUUCAGGGGUGUUUAUUAAUCUCGUGGGUCAUACUCAAAUCAUCAUCAUCAUCAAUGAUGUUUAAGCAUCAGUAUAAUACAAUCAAGUAAAGCAUCACCAUAGAGUUCAAUUAUGAAAGAAUUCGAUGAUUCUGAAUAUUAGAGUGUAUGCGAUGAAACAACAAAGUCAAAACGGUAGCAACCACCUCUACAUUCACUUGCCUUCAUCGAAGAAGAAAAAGGUACUAGGCAUGAUUCGGAGUGUAGACACCUGCUGUGGGGCUUAAAACUUAGUACAAAUAUUCCAUAAACAUUUGCCAACAAUUAACAAAUCGCUCCUACACUUGAAACCAAGACCCGGUGGAAUGACUCCCACCCUGAACCACAUGCCAAACAACAAUAGUGUUGUUUGUUAAUUUCUAUCUUUAAAAUUAUAACAGUGGUGAUAUCAAACAAAUACUCUAUACGUUUCUACACAAAAUACUCUACAACUUCGGUAUUCAAUGGAUAAUUAAAUUUUGCCAUCUAUAAGUUCUAAAACAUCUGACAAGAUAACUGACUGAAUCUGUUUCAGACAACAGCAUAGUUAACUUCAAAAUUCGAUAUCUCCCUAACUCCUCAACAAAAAAUUAUGAAAUUAUGCUGACAGUAAGAACUUUUAUCCCUCUACAAAAGUCUCCAUAGUUGAAAGAGCCAAUUCGGCCAUUUACUAGAUGAAACCUACCAGUUAACGGACCCGCUCAUUUUUGUCAAGCAAACAAGAACCCUUAUAUAUCAAAGAGUAGUGGAUUUGAAUUUGUCUAAUAUGAAGUUUACGGGCUUGGCUCAUUUAAAGUAUUUAAUAAUUCUGAAAGACAAGAUUAAACUAACUAUGUAUGAUCCUUUAGCACCGUACAGAUGGUCGAUGGGACAGUUACAUGGUUUAUAUAGAUGGACCUAUCUAUAUUCCUUCAGUGGUUGAGAAAAAAGUAAAGGUGUGUCACACUCACGUGUGCGCCGCCUCCGCCGAGACGAGGCAUGGCGUUGCAAGGUGAGGCAUGGCAUGGUGUAGCACGAUAGCAGUCAUGGUCGUGGCACAGUGUAGCACUGUUGUGGAUAGAUAGGUAAACUAUUGUUGUAGUUAGAGUGCAUGAGUUUUUGAAUGCAACACUAGAAUUUUCACAAUUUAACUUAAUUAAGAAGUUAUAUCUUGAUGACACAGAGUUACCUGACCAUUGAUCUCACAUGCCCUUUUAGCUCUCUCGUUCUCUAGACUCACCCUGACUAUUUAAGUCUCUUGACUCGCCAAUAUAAACACCAUCCUAUCAUUUGCUCUAGAAUACUUCUGUGUCACAACUCAACUGUCAGAUGAGUACUCCAUUACAGCACUUACGUACACGAGUUCUAUGAGAGCAGGCCUCCAAAAUGAAUAUCUACUUAGAUGAAGGACGACAAUCGUGUUCUAGGGAAAUAUCAGCGACACAACUCCUUACUUCCUUCGCUUCUUCCUAGUGUUUUUUGUUGUGAUUGAGUCGACACAGCAACAACACUGCACUAUUACAACCAGUACGACUAUAUCAACUAGCAAUGUCUUCCUUAUAUGUUACUAUUUAUUUUGCACAUAUUCAUUAUGUUUAAAUCACAUAGGCACCUUUCUAUUGGCAUCAAAAAAUUAGUAUCAACUUUCUAGAUUAAAAUGAAACUAAAAGUACAUAAAUUUCUAUCGGUGGGGAUCGAGUGAUUCUUUAAACCGAUUAUUACACAAGUUAACCACACUAAAAUUAACAUUGGUGAAUCGUGCCAUGAUUUUUUUUCUAGUGGAAAAUAGCCAAACCAAGCAACACAUAUGUGGCUAUCGUUACACAUGUGUAAAGGUAUUGCAUCACACUAUUGUCACCCAUGUAUUUGGACAAUACCGAGAGGAAAAACCACUUAUUUAUUGUAUUUUAUCAAGUUUGUCUUGCUUACGUAUAAAAUUAUAACCCAACAAAGUAAUCACUAAACGUCAAAACCAACUAGAUAUCAUGUCAUCUCUACCUUAUCUUACUAAUAUUCUUUUUGCAAAAUCCAAAAUUAAUCUUGCACAAGCACAAGGACUGAGAUGUGUAUAAAUAUCUCUUAAAUUAGUAGCUAAUAUAUCGCACAUAUUAUUUAGACCAACUAGCAACAUAGAAAGCACAAUAGUGUACCAACAAUGGCAGCCAAAAUAUUUUGCCUCCUUAUGCUCCUUGGUAUUUCUGCAAGUGCUGCUACGGCGACCAUUUUCCCGCAAUGCUCACAAGCUCCUAUAGCUUCCCUUCUUCCCCCGUACCUCUCACCAGCGGUGUCUUCGGUAUGUGAAAACCCAAUUCUUCAACCCUACAGGAUCCAACAGGCAAUCGCAGCUGGCAUCUUACCUUUAUCACCCUUGUUCCUCCAACAAUCAUCAGCCCUAUUACAGCAGUUACCUUUGGUGCAUUUAUUGGCACAAAACAUCAGGGCACAACAACUACAACAACUUGUGCUAGCAAACCUUGCUGCCUACUCUCAGCAACAGCAGUUUCUUCCAUUCAACCAACUAGCUGCAUUGAACUCUGCUUCUUAUUUGCAACAACAACAACUACCAUUCAGCCAGCUACCUGUUGCCUACCCCCAGCAAUUUCUUCCAUUCAACCAACUGGCAGCAUUGAACUCUCCUGCUUAUUUACAGCAGCAACAACUACUACCAUUCAGCCAGCUAGCUGGUGUGAGCCCUGCUACCUUCUUGACACAACCACAGUUGUUGCCGUUCUACCAGCACGCUGCGCCUAACGCUGGCACCCUCUUACAACUGCAACAAUUGCUGCCAUUCAACCAACUUGCUUUGACAAACCUAGCAGUGUUCUACCAACAACCCAUCAUUGGUGGUGCCCUCUUUUAGAUUUCUUAUGAGUUAUAGUUCAAUAAUAAAGUUUUUUGUCUGAUGUUUGUGGCUUCCCAGAAAUAAGAAAGUACAUUUCUAGAUUCUUAUGUGCUUCUAGUCUCCAAAUGUGGUUGAUAGUUAUUUUGCUCUAAGAUCAGCAGUACAACAACAACAACAACAACAACAACAACAACAACAAAGCCUUUUUGUCCCAAGCACGUUGGGGUAGGCUAGAGAUGAAACCCCGUAUGAAAACCUCAGAGCUCAACCCCCAAAGAACAGAAAAGGGAAACAAAGGCAAAGGAGAACCGAAAACAACGAAACGGGGAAACACAUAAAAGAGAUAAAACCCACAAGGACCAGCAAGAUCUAAAAUGGACACAAGAAAAGGUCAAACGAUUAAGGAGGAAAAGCGAAACUAUCAAUCAGGGUUCUGGCACGUGAAUUGCACACUUCCACCCCUUCCUAUCUGCGGCGAGCUCUUUGUCAAUAUUCCACUCCUUCAGGUCUCUCUUCACAGCCUCUGUCCACGUCAAAGUUGGUCGACCUCUACCUCUCUUCACAUUUUCGGGACGCCUAAUUAUUCCGAUAUGCACUGGUGCCUCUUCAGGUCUUCGUUGGAUAUGUCCAAACCAUCUCAAGCGAUGUUGCAUAAGCUUCUCCUCAAUUGGCGCCACUCCUACUCUCUCUCGUAUAUCAUCAUUCCGGACUCGAUCUCUCCUUGUGUGGCCACAUAUCCAGCGCAACAUACGCAUCUCUGCCACACUUAGUUGUUGGACAUGUCGUCUUUUAGUGGGCCAACAUUCUGCUCCAUACAACAUAGCCGGCCGGAUUGCUGUCCUGUAGAAUUUGCCUUUUAGUUUGCGUGGCACCCGGUGGUCGCAUAAGACACCCGCAGCUUGUCGCCACUUCAACCAUCCGGCUUUAAUUCUAUGACUGACAUCCUCAUCGAUGUCUCCCUCCUUUUGAAGCAUUGAUCCUAAGUAACGAAAAGUGUCUUUCUUGGGUACCACUUGCCCAUCAAGACUAACAUCGCCAUCCUCAUACCCCAUGGCACUGAAAUCACACUUCAUAUACUCUGUUUUAGACCUACUAAGCCUAAAACCUUUUGCUUCCAGCGUCUGCCUCCACAAUUCCAACUUUUGAGAAACACCACUCCUACUCUCCUCAAUAAGUACCACAUCAUCGGCAAAAAGCAUACACCACGGUAAAACUCCUUGUAUGUCCCUUGUGACCUCAUCUAUCACCAAAGCGAAAAGAUAAGGGCUCAAAGCCGACCCUUGAUGUAGUCCUAUGUUAAUUGGAAAGUCAUCGGUGUCUCCAUCACUUGUUCGGACACUUGUCACAACAUUAGUGUACAUAUCUUUAAUAAGAUUAAUGUACUUUGUUGCUACUUUGUGUUUUUCCAAGGCCCACCACAUUACACUCCUAGGUACUUUGUCAUAAGCCUUCUCCAAGUCUAUGAAGACCAUAUGCAGGUCUUUCUUUUGUUCUCUGAAUCUCUCCAUAAGUUGUCUUAGUAAGAAAAUGGCCUCCAUAGUUGAUCUCCCGGGCAUGAAACCAAACUGAUUUUGGGUCACGCUCGUCAUCUUUCGCAGGCGGUGUUCAAUGACUCUCUCCCAUAGCUUCAUUGUAUGGCUCAUGAGCUUAAUUCCACGGUAAUUAGUACAACUUUGAACAUCUCCUUUGUUCUUGAAGAUUGGUACUAAUGUACUCCGCCGCCACUCGUCGGGCAUUCUGUUUGCCCGAAAGAUGGUGUUGAAAAGCUUAGUCAGCCAUACUAUCGCUAUGUCUCCAAGACAUCUCCAUACCUCGAUAGGGAUACCAUCAGGGCCCAUCGCCUUUCCUACCUUCAUCCUUUUUAGCGCCUCCUUAACUUCAUAUUCUUGUAUCCUUCGUACAAAACCCCUGUUGUUGUCAUCGAAUGGUUCGUCCAAUUCUAUUGUAGCACUCUCAUUCCCUCCAUUGAACAAUUUGUUGAAGUACUCCUUCCAUCUGUUCUUGAUCUCUUCACUCUUCACUAAUAGUUGGUUUGCUUCGUCCUUGAUGCAUUUGACUUGGUUGACAUCCCUUGUCUUCCUUUCACGAAUCUUGGCCAUCCUAUAGAUAUCCUUUUCUCCCUGCUUUGUGUCCAGCCGUUGAUAAAGGUCGUCAUAGGCUUGACCCCGGGCUCUACUAACCGCUCGCUUUGCAGACUUCUUCGCUAUCCUGUACUUCUCUAUGUUUUCUGCACACUUGUCAUGAUGUAAGCGUUUGUAGCAAUCUUUCUUCUCCUUGAUAGCCUUUUGGACAUCUUCGUUCCACCACCAAGUGUCUUUAACUUCCCUUCUGUUCCCUUGACUCAACCCAAACUCUUCUGAAGCUAUCUUUCGGAUGCAUGUCGCCAUCUUCCUCCACAUGAUAUUUGCGUCUUCCUCUCCUGCCCAAGGGCCCUCCUCGAUAACUCUCUUCUUGAAAGUUUGGGCCACAUCCCCUUUAAGCUUCCACCACUUUGUUCUAGUGACCUUGUUAUGCUUAUUUCGUUGUAAACGAAUCUUAAAACGGAAGUCAGCAACGACAAGCUUAUGUUGGGUUACCACACACUCUCCAGGUAUAACCUUGCAAUCUAAGCAGGCAUGCCUGUCCUCUUUUCUCAAGAGGACGAAAUCAAUCUGGCUAGUGUGUUGGCCACUACUGAAGGUCACCAGGUGGGAUUGCCUCUUCUUAAAGAAAGUGUUUGCUAUAAACAUGUCAUAGGCUAGGGCAAAGUUCAGGAUUUCCUCUCCUUCUUGAUUCCUAGUCCCAAAGCCGAAGCCUCCAUGUACACCCUCGAAACUGGUGCUAGAUGUACCCACAUGGCCAUUGAGAUCUCCUCCUAUGAAGAGCUUCUCGCCAACUGGCACACUACUAACCAUGUCCUCUAGGCCUUCCCAGAACUCUCUCUUUGAGUUCUCAUUAAGGCCUACUUGAGGAGCAUACGCGCUGAUAACAUUGAGAACCAAGUCUCCAAUGACCAGCUUGACUAGGAUGAUUCUAUCUCCUACCCUCUUAACAUCUACUACCCCAUCUUUGAGGCUCUUGUCGAUCAAGACGCCUACUCCAUUCUUGUUUGUUGCAGUCCCCGUGUACCACAACUUGAAACCUGUACCUUUCACUUCCUUCGCCUUCUGUCCCUUCCACUUGGUCUCUUGAACGCAUAAAAUAUUUACCCGUCUCCUCACCGCAACGUCAACUAUUUCUCGUAACUUACCUGUUAAGGAACCUACGUUCCAACUGCCUACACGGACCCUAGUUGGCUCGACUAGCUUCCUUACCCUUCGCACCCGCCGAGGAAGAUGCAAAGACCCUUGCUCAUUUUUCACUACACCCGGGCGCCGAUGUAGCGCGCCACUAAGGAUGCGACGACCCGAUCCUUGCUCACUUAUCACCGGCUCCAGAUCAAGAGACAGCGCGUCACUUGAGGGGUGACGACCCGGCCCUUGCUCAUUUAACACCAUACCCGGGUUCCGAUAUGGCGCGUCGCUAAGAGGGUUACGCCCCAACGGUUUUCUUUGUGGUUUCAUCUCCAUAAGAUUUGGCUGGUUUUUUACGUUGGUUUGCCGGACCUAACACAACCCUCCUCCUUUACCGGGCUUGGGACCGGCUAUGUUGAAACGACUCAAGGAAGUCUUCCAAUCAACAUAGGCGGAGUUUAAGAUCAGCAGUAAUGAAGUAUAAAUCAUCGUUGUGGUGUGCUACUCGGUUAAUUGAGCAUUAACACACACAAACAUGACGAGGAUGGUAUAAUCUCCCAAAAUGUGUACUUUGUUAGGUGGGACCCUAUAGCCUUGCAGAAUGUGCUACGUUAGGCAUGCCGAUGGAAACGUGUGACGCAUACGUUUUGUGAACCUGUUGAUAUUAUAUGUGCUUUUAUAUUACCAUAUUUUAUUAAAACACUAAUAUUUAUUACUAGUAAGAUAUAACAUUCUAUCUAGCUUAAAAACUAACCAUAAAUAUUCCAUAAUAACUAGAUUUACCAAACUAAUAUACUAAAUAUACAUAAUAAAUACAAAAUUAACAAGACAAUAAUCAAUAUUUAUGAGCUUAAUAUAUUUAGACAUUAUGGUUGGUCGACGAUAAUCAUGCUAACUUUCCGUAAUUGCUUGAUUGUAAAUAUGCUUAGACUAAUGCCUCUUUGUUCUACAUGGCAAAUAGGGACCACUCUAGGAGACUAGGAUGUUGCUUGAGAUGAAAAUGUCAGAAUUGGUGUAGACUAAUUUCUAUCGGCCGCUGACUUCACUAUUGUAACCAUUAUAUCUUGGGUAAAUUAUAUACGAUUAUCCAGCCAAAGGGCCCAGAUGAUAAAAAACAAUUUUUAAUUGCUAUUUUAGGACAAAUGAAUUAGCAUGGUUCGAAGGAUUACGACCUUCCCCCCAUGACCUUUGUCAUACUGCUUUAGUCUAAUCGACAAAACCAAGAUUAGUUAUCAUCGAAGAAGUUCAUAAGCGAAGUUGUGACGAUGAAAGGAACAUGGUGGUAAUUGGACGAACGACGACACCUUUGUCUAAGAAUGGCAUCUAGAAGAAAUCUCAGACAAAAUAAGACAUGAAUGGCUUGUCAGUACAGCGCAAAUACUGAAACAUGCGCCCUUGAAUAUGAAACAUUUAUAUGUAAGAGGAAGGGAUAAAAAAACUAAUUACUCGUGCCUAAUGAUUUUAUUGGGAAUUUUAAGGCGAGACUUAUGGCAAAGGGUUAUACCAAAAAUAGGGGAGAGAUUAUUUCGAUACUUAUUCACUUGUUUCCCUUCAAAUGGCCAUACAUGUGUUACUUUUUUUGGCUGCCUCGCAUGGUCUUAUCGUUCAUCAGAUGAAUGUUAAGACUGCUUUCCCAAAUGGAGAGCUUAAGGAACAGAUCUACAUUGACUAGCCUAGUGGUUUUAUAUCAAAUGGUAAAGAGGAAAAGGUGUUUAAAAUAAUUGUUUGGUUUAAAACAAGCACCAAAGCACAUGAGAAAAUCGAUAAAGUUCUGACUUUGGCUAAAUUUGUUGUAAAUGAAGUUGAUAAAUGUGUCCAUUACCAGUUUGACAGGGGCGAAGGUAUGACCUUUUUAUAUGUGGACAAAAUAUUAACCUUUUGUAACGAUGUUAAUAUGAUAGAAGAAGUAAAGUAAUUUUUGUCUAGUAACUUAGAAAUAAACAAUCUGGGAGAGGCUAAUGUUGUUCUUAACAAAGAGAUGUUGAGAGAAGGAGGAAAUAGAGGGUUACUCUUGUGCAAUCCUAUUAGGUUGAAAAGUCGCUGAGUCGCUUUGGAUAUAGUGAUUACACGUCUGGUCCAACAACUUAUGACCCAAGUGUGUUAUUAAGGAAAAAUCAUAUAAUUGCAUAUGAUCAAUUGAGAUAUUGUCAAAUCAUGGUCUUCUCAUAUAUUUGGCAAGCCCAACGAUGUCUCAUAUCUGAUUUGUUAUGAGCAAACUCAGUUGCCUUGUCUCCAAUCUAGGGGAGGAUCAUGACAUGCCCUAGAGAGGGUAUUGCGCUUUCUCAAAGGGAUAUGAGUAAUGUCAUUUACUAUACUAGGCACCUAAGAGUACCAGAGUGUUAUAGUCAUGCAAAUAGGAUAUCUGAUGUUGAUUAGAUUUAUGCCACAAGUAGACUUGUGUGCUUCCUUGGAGGUGUGAUUGUUUCAUGGAAGUCUUGUAAGUAGACCAUCUUAACAAGGUCAACAAUAGAAGUAGAACUCACAACAUUAUAUACUACCAAAGUUGAAGUUGAUUGGCUCCGUGAACUCCUUACGGAUUUACCAGUAGUUGAAAAACCAAUACUGGUUAUCUCUAUGAGCUACAAUAAUCAAACAUUUGUAAUCGAAGUAAACAGUUCUAAAGUUAACAUGAUGUCUACAAAGCAUGUAAAAAUGGUUGAAACUGUUAAAACACUAAGAAACUCUAGAUUAAUUAUGUUGGACUAUAUCCAUACAUCGAAUUUGGUAUGCCAGUUUACAGAAGAUUUGUCACAUAAUAUGAUUCAAGGUGCAUCGAGGAAUAUGGGCUUGAGACCCACUUAAUGUCAAUCCAUAGUGGUAGCAGUUUCUAUGUGAUUGGAGAUCCCAUAAAGUAGAAUGGUGAAACAAGCUAGAGAAUGACUGAUGGAGAGACUCCUUAAAUAAAAUCUUGAUAAUUUGAGAUGCACAUUUCUCAUUUGAUGUAUUGUAGGCGAACUAAAAUCUUAAUAUGAUUUGAGUGACUUAUCUAAGCAGGGAUGUUAUCUUACAGAACAUCCUAGAAAGAACACACCUAUAUGAGUUUGCAUGUUAGUCAUAGUCUAUCAUGUGUGGUAAUCUUUAUAUACUCAUGAAAGGCUUGAAGUUUGACUUAUAUGCUUCAAACCAAGGGGGUGCUUGUAACAGUCUAGUACAAGAUAAGAACAUUGGUAAAACUCACUUAACGCAAAAUUGUCAAUUUAAGGCAUAGUUCAUUGUUUAGAUGUGAAUGUGUAAUCCCUGUUCUAGAUGGAUGGUCAACUUAACAGCCUCCACCAAAACCCUGAUAUCUCAAAGAGUAGUGGAUUUGAGUUUGUCUAAUAUGUGGUUUAGAUUUUGGUGGGGAAUUUUAAUAUUUUAUGGGCUUGGCCCAUUUAAGGUAUUUAAUACUUUCAAAAGACAAGAUUAAACAUGUGUGAAUAGUGUCAUGAUUUUUUUCUAGUGCAAAAUAGCCCAACAAAUCAACACAUAUGUGGCUAUCAUUACACAUGUGUAAAGGUAAUGCAUCACACCAUUGUCACCCAUGUAUUUAGAAAAUACCAAGAAGAAAAACAACUUGUUUAUUGUAUUUUAUGGAGAUUAUCUUGCUUACAUAUAAUUAUAACCCAACAAAGUGGUCACUAAAUGUCAAAACCAACUAGGUACCAGGUCAUCUCUAGCUUAUCUUGCUAAUGAUAUUUUUGCAAAAUCCAAAAUUAAUCUUGCACAAGCACAAGGACUGAGAUGUGUAUAAAAAUCUCUUAGAUUAGUAGGUAAUCCAUCACACAAAGCGCAAUAGUGUAGCAAAACUGGCAGUCAAAAUAUUUUGCCUCCUUAUGCUCCUUGCUCUUUCUGCAAGUGCUGCUAACGCGACCAAUUUUCUGCAAUGCUCACAAGAUCCAAUUGCUUCCCUUCUUCCCUCAUACCUCUCACCAGCGACAUCUUCAGUAUGUGAAAACCCAAUUCUUCAACCCUAUAGGAUCCAACAGGCAAUCACAGCAAGCAUCUUACCUUUAUCACCCUUGUUCCUCCAACAACCGCCAGCCCUGUUACAACAAUUACCUUUGGUGCAUUUGUUGGAACAAAGCAUCAAGGCACAACAACUACAACAACCUGUGCUGACAAACCUUGUUGCCUACUCUCAGCAACAAUAGUUUCUUCCAUUCAACCAACUGGCUGCACUGAACUCUGCUGCUUAUUUGCAACAACAACAACAACUUCCAUUCACCCAGCUAGCUGCUGCCUACCCCCAACAAUUUCUUCCAUUCGACUAACUGGCUGCAUUGAACUCUGUUGCUUAUUUACAACAGCAACAACUAAUACCAUGAAACCAGCUAGCUGUUGCGAGCCCUGCUACCUUCUUGACACAACCACAGUUGAUGUCGUUCUACCUGCAAGCUGUGGCUAACGUCGGCACCCUCUUACAACUACAACAAUUGUUGCCAUUCAUCCAACUUGCUUUGACAAACCCAAUAGUGUUCUACCAACAACCCAUCAUUGGUGGCGCCCUCUUUUAUAUUUCUUAUGGGUUAUAGUUCAAUAAUGAAGUUUUUGGCUGAUGUUUGUGGCUUCCCAGAAAUAAGAAAGUAUAUUUCUAGAUUCUUAUGUGCUACUAGUCUCCAAAUGUGGUUGAUAAUUAUGUUGCUCUAAGAACGGGAGUAAUGAGGUAUAAAUCAUUGUUGAGGUGUGAUACUCGGGUAGUUGAGCAUUAGCACGCACAAAUAUGAUGAGGACGGUAUAAUCUCCAAAAAUAUGUACUUUGUUAGGUGGGACCCUAUAGCCAUGCAGAAUGUGCUCUGUUAGACACGUCGAUGGAAACGUGUCACACAUACGUUUUGUGAACCUAUUGAUAUUGUAUGUGCUUUUAGUUGUGUGGUGCUAUAGAUAUGAGGGCUUGUUUCACGUAAUGAGCUAGGGUAGAAAAAUAAUUAUUUGCCUUGGAUUGUUAUGGAAGAACAUACCAAUUGUGACUGCCAUCUCAAUCUAGCUAACAUCUAAGUGACCUAAAAGGAGAGCAUAAGGAACUGAUCUACAAUGACUAGCCUAGUGGUUUUAUAGGAAAUGGCAAAGAGGAAAAUGUGUUUAAGUUAUUACAAUUGUAUGGUUUAAAACAAGCACCUAAGCACAUGAGAAAUUUUAUGAAGUUCUGACUUUGGCUAAAUUUGUUGUAAAUGAAGCUGAUAAAUGUGUCUAUUGCUAGUUUGAGAGGAGGGAUGGCAUGACCUGUUUUUUAUAUUUGGAUGAUAUAUUAAUCUUUUGUAAUGAUGUUAAUAUUAUCGAGGAAGUAAAAUACUCUUUGUGUGGUAACUUUGAAAUAAAUGAUUUUGGAGAGGCUAAUGUUGUUCUUAACAUAAAGAUGUUGGGAGAAGGAGGAAAUAGGGGGUAACUCUUGUGAAUCCUAUUAGGUUGAAAAGACAUUUAGUUGUUUUGGAUAUAGUAACUACACAUCUGGUCAAAUUACUUAUGACACAAGCGUGUUGUUAAGGAAAAUGAUAUAAUCGCAUAGAAUCAAAUGAGAUACUAUCAAAUCAUGGUCUUCUCGUGUAUUUGGCUAAUCCAACGAGGCCUAAUAUCUCAUUGCUAUGAUUAAACUUAGUCGAUUUGUAUACAAUGUAGGGGAUGAUCAUGGCAAGCCCUAGAGAGGGUAUUGCGCUACCUAAAAGGGACUAUGAGUAAUGUAAUUUACUAUACCAGGCACCUAAGGGUACCAGAGUGUUACAAUGAUGCAAACAAGAUAUCUGAUGGUGACGAGAUUUAUGCCACAAGUGGAUAUGUGUGCUUGCUUGGAGGUGUGAUAGUUUCAUGGAAGUCUUGUAAGUAUACCAUCUUAACAAGAUCAACAAAACAAGUAGAACUGGCAACAUAAGAUACUACCAUAGUUGAAGCUAAGUGGCUUCUUGAACUCCUUAUGGAUUUACCAGUAGUUGAAAACUAAUAGUGGUUAUCUCUAUGAUCUAUGAUAAUCAAAUAGUCGUAAUCAAAGUGAACAGUUCUAAGGAUAACAUGAAUUCUACAAAGCAUGUCAAAAAGCGAUUGAAACUAUUAGAACACUAAGAAUCUCUAGAGUAAUUGUGUUGGACUAUGUCCAUACAUCUAAGAAUUUGGUAGGUCGAUUUAGAGAAGGUUUGUCCAUAAUGUGAUAGAUGGUGCAUCGUGUAAGAUGGGCUUGAGACCCUCUUAAUGCCAUUCCUUAGUGGUAGCAUGUUCUAUGUGAUUGGAGAUCUCGUGAAGUAGAAUGGUGAAACAAGAUAGAGAAUGACUGAUGGAGAGACUCCUUAAAUAAAAUCUAGGUAAUUUGAUAUGCAUAUUUCUCCUUUGAUGUAUCGUAGGCUAACUAAAAUCUUAAUAUGAUCGGAGUGAUUUAUCUAAGCAGGGAUGUUAUCUUAUAGAACAUCCUAGAAGGAACACACCUAUAUGAGUUUGACUGCUAUUCAUAGUCUAUGAUAUUUGGGAAAUCUUUAUAUACACCUGAAAGGCCUAGAAAUGUGACUUCUAUGCUUCAAACCAAGGGGAUGCUUGUAACAAUCUAGUAUCAGAUAAGAACUUUGGUGAAACUCACUUCAUGCAAAACCGUUAAUUCAAAGCAUAGUCCAUUGUUCAGAUGUGAAUGUAUAACCCAUGUUCUAGAUGGAUGGUCAACUUAAUAGCCUCCACCAAGACCAUGAUAUAUCAAAGAGUAGUGGAUUUGAGUUUGUCCAAUAUGUGGUUUAGAUUUUGGUGGGGAAUGUUAAUAUUUUAUUGGCUUGACCCAUUUAAAGUGUUUAAUAAUUUUGAAAGACAAGAUUAAACAAACUAUGUAUGAUGCUUUAGCACCAUAUGGAUAGUUGUGACAUAUUUGUAUUCCUUGAGUGGUUGAGGAAAAGGUAAAGGCGUGUCACACUCAUGCCAGCGCCGCCUCCGCCGAGACAAGGUGUGCGUGGCGAAGUGAGGCAUGGUGUGGUGCAGCACGGUCGCAGUCAAGGUCGUGGUGCGGUGUAGCGUUGUUGUGGAUACAUAGAUUGAUAAACUGGUGUUGUGGUUAGAGCGCAAGCAUUUGUGAAAGUAACACUAGAAUUUUCACAAUUUAACAUAAUUAAGAAGUUAUAUCUUGAUGACACAAAGUUACUUGACCUAUGAUCUCACGUGCCCUUUUAACUCUCUCGUUCUCUGGUCUCACCCUGACUAUUUAGGUUUCCUAACUCGCCAAUAUAAUCACCCUCAUAUCAUUUGCUCUCAAAUCACUUCUCUGCCACUGCUCAACUAUCAGUUGAGUACUCCAUUACAACAAUUACAACACUUACGCACACGAGUUAUACGAGAGUAGGUCUCCGAAAUGAAUGACGACUAAGUGUUUAUCUACUCAGAUGAAGGACGACAAUAACAUUUUUGGGAAGUAUCAUCAGAACAACUCCUUACUUCCUUCGCUUCUUCCUAAUGUUUUUUAUUGCGAUUGAGUCAACACAACAACUAAGCUGCACUACAACAACUAGUACGACUAUAUCAACGGCAAUGUCUCUGUUAGGUUUGAGUCCUAUGAGGGCCUUAAAACUAUGUUACUAUUUAUUUUGUUCAUAUUCAUUAGGUUCAAAUCACAUGUGCACCUUUCUAUUGACAUCAAAAAAUUAGGGCCAACUUUCUAGAUUAAAAUGCAACUAAAAGUACCUAAAUUUCUAUCGGUGGGGAUCGAGUGACUCUUUAAACCGAUUAUUACACAAGUUAACCAAACUAAAAUUAACAUUGGUGAAUAGUGCCAUUAAUUUCUAGUGCAAAAUAGCCCAUCCAAGCAACACAUAUGUGGAUAUCGUUAUAUAUGUGUAAAGGUAAUGCAUCACACCAUUGUCACCCAUGUAUUUGGAAAAUACCAAGAGUCAAAACCACUUGUUUAUUGUAUUUUAUGGAGAUUGUGUUGCUUACGUAUAAAUUAUAACCCAACAAAGUGGUCACUAAAUGUCAAAACCAACUAGAUUCUAGGUCAUCUCUAGCUUAUCUUAUUAAUAUUCUUUUGGCAAAAUCUUGCACAAGUACAAGGACUAACAUGUGUAGAUAUCUCUUAAAUUAGUAGGUAAUCCAUCACAUAUAUUAUUGAGACAAACUAGCAACAUAGAAAGUGCAAUAAAGUAGCAACAAUGGCAGCCAAGAUAUGUUCCCUCCUUAUGCUCCUUGCUCUUUCUGCAAGUGGUUCUAGCGCGACCAUUUUCUUGCAAUGCUCAUAAGAUCCUAUAGCUUCCCUUCUUCCCCCAUACCUCUCACCCACAAUGGAUUCAGUAUGUGAAAACCCAAUUCUUCAACCCUACAUGAUCCAACAUGCAAUCUCAAUAACAUCUUACCUUUAUCACCCUUGUUCGUCCAACAACCGGUAGCCCUAUUACAGCAAUUAUCUUUGGUGCAUUUGUUGGCACAAAGCAUCAGGGCACAACAACUACAGC
rnacentral:lncRNA from 1 species